rnacentral:rRNA from 1 species
UACGGAGGGUGCAAGCGUUAUCCGGAUUCACUGGGUUUAAAGGGCGCGUAGGCGGCGCAACAAGUCACUUGUGAAAUCUCCGGGCUUAACCCGGAGCGGCCAAGUGAUACUGUCGUGCUAGAGUGCGGAAGGGGCUACUGGAAUUCUCGGUGUAGCGGUGAAAUGCGUAGAUAACGAGAGGAACACCUGCGGCGAAGGCGGGUAGCUGGGCCGACACUGACGCUGAGGCGCGAAAGCCAGGGGAGCGAACGGG